CACUAGCUGGAUGAUCACAGGCUUUUUUUUAGGUUUCCUGGCAGUGAGCUAACAGGGCUGACCCACGGCCCAGGCACACCUGUCCCAAGGCUGCGGAGGAGAACUUGGAAGACACACCCAUCCUCCUUGGCUGGCCCUUCUGCCUGUGAGUUCCAUCCUGCCCUGUGGGACACCCGCCAGGUGUUCGCCUAAAGGUUUCUUUUCCAGUUUUUCUAAUGGUUCCAUGCAUGUGUGAAAAACAAUGAUUUUCUCUGUUUCAAAACUCUGCCUUGACAAAAUUAGCUCUUACCUGACAAAAUGUGUAAAUCAAAAAUGUCAGAAUGAGGAGUUAUUAAAAAAAAAUUAAAAUGCGUGCAUAUUAAUUUAAUACACAUAAGUAUACAUUCAUUUGCCAAUCUUUUGAUGUGGAGCCAAAGCCCUUUCCUUAUAUCUAGGUAUGCUAAUUGGGGGUUAGUGGCUGUUCUUGCAUAAAUCACUACCAGAUUGCAUUGCCUAUAAUUUCCAUUUUGAGUUUCCUCAUAGUGGAAGGCAGUUGCAGAGAAACUUGUGAAGGAUUCAAGUUUUCUGUUUCUCCUCCUUAACAGUUGUCUUGCUCACACUUAAUCUCAGCAAGUUCUUAUAAUGAUUUAUCCUUCCUGAAUCUUUACAAAGUAAUUCAACUAGUUUUCUAGAAAUUUUUAUGUUCCACAUUCGUAUUUGUAUUUUAUAUUCAUCCAUAUUCUUAUUCAUCCGUUUAUAUCAUGUUUAGGUUGAGAAUUUGCAUUAAUGAGCACUAAACUUAAGCAGGUUUGGAACAACUUAACUGGAAAGAGGAAGCACGGGUGAACUUCUAGGAGUGGCUGACCAGUCCCUAGGCUGCAGCAUGUCAAGGACGCAGACAUUUAUUACAGAAAGAAUAGGGAACACCAGUGAAUCCAACAACUCAGUUAAGUGGGAUCAAAGCAGAGAAAUGUGCUAAUUUGGUAGAUAAGUUCUGUUAAUUCUAUGUUUCAAAUCCUACAUGUUUUUCUCUUCUUGACCUCUUAGUUCUGAAAGAGAUGAUUCUAAUUUAUGAUGUUCUCUGAGUAAUGUAUCCUGAAGUGGGUAUGUAUCCUGAAGCUAUUCUAGAUACAAGAUGAAGCAUGACGUUCCUUCACCGUGUACUGUAACUGUUACCAGUGUAAAUAUCCUCAACCCGUUCUCGUGCUAUUAACUUUGGGUUCUCUUCUGGUUCAUAUUGCUAUUUCACACCUCCAAUUUUGUUCGUAUUAGCCAGCUAUGUCUUUGACUAUUACUUUUGAAUACCUCUAUGUCACUUGAUUUUAGGCAUGCCUCUUACAGUAAGGGAUGUUUUGAUUUCUUCCUUCUCUACUUCCUUGCAUAGGUAUGUUUCCAGGAUUGAUCCCCUUUCUUUCCCCCCACCCCCUUUCUUCUAGGGUAGCAUUUAAGAACUCUGGAUACACACUGGCAUCACCUAGGAGCCUUUCAAAAAAACAACUUAAUGCCUAAACUUUACCCCAGAGCCUCAGGGAGGAAGCAUGGUGUCAAUAUUUUUUAAAAGGGUCUGGUAUAAAGUCAGGAUUGAAAACUGUACUGUCACACUAUUUCUGUUCCUGUAGUGUAUCCCUGUACAUUCUCAUCAAUCAUAUUAAAGUUUAUAGUUUUUGUUUUUUUUUAUCAGACAGGCUGAAACAGUUGUAGCAGUCAAGGUAAAAUCAGAGUGAUAAAGUAUAAGGGACUUGUUGUAGAGAUUUAACCUUAAGCAACUGUGAUCGCUGGUGGAAAAAUCUGUUGCCCUGCAUCUGGUGUUGGGCCUGAAGUCACGGUAAGUCAGCCAGAUCAGCAGCUGGGAAGAAAAGCUGAACAAGAACAGGAGCAGGGACAAACCAGAGAGUGGUAGAAAACAAACACGGAGCUUGCAUCUGUCUCUCGUUACCCUGCCUUAGUUGACUUGGACGAUGCCUGCAGGUGUGGCUGGCACUCUCGGCCACAGAACUGCACGUAUCUUUGGCCCAGGACUCAGAGAAGUUGGAGGACAUGUGGCAGAACCUGGAGGAGCCACAGCCUGGGCGCUGCCCCACGCCAACAAGAUGGAGAGAGGCAGAGAACAAGUGGGAAAGGAGCAGAGAGAAAGGGGGACAGAGGAUCCUAAGCAGGCUCCCCAUGGACCGCAGAGAGCCUGAAGUGGGGCUUAAGCCCAUGAACCACGAGAUCAUGACCAGAGCGGAAGGCAGCCGCUUAACCCAAUGAGCCACCCAGGCGCCCCUAACGUGGAGAUCUUGAAUUGUGAUUAUGUGAAUGAAAUUUUCAUGGAUGUGAUAAAGAACCUCCUUUGGGAAAUUUACAGAAUUAUUAUCAUUUUGAUGCGCCUUAUUAACGUGCUUUAUUUCAACAUCAAUGUGAAUUAUACUUUCUUUUUAAAAACAAAUAAUUACAAUGUUCCUCAAAUGCAUUGGUUAGUAUUUCUUUGCCUAAAAGAGUCUCAAAAAUGUGACUCAAUUCCUGUUGGUGAAGGUAAAAACGCAUGUAUCCCGUUUGUUCUAGUUUUCUACUGCUGUUUAAUAAACUACCCUAAAACUCAUUGUUAAACCCCAAACAUUUGUCCGGGACUCAACAGGGAUGCCUCUUCUCUGCUUAGCAACAUUGGGGUGACUCAGUUUGGGGCUGAAUGAUCCCCUUUGAGAUUGGAUUACUCAUACAACUGUCAAGUUGGUGGUGACUAUUGGCUGAGACCUCAGCCGGGGUGGUGAGCCGGGUGGUUUCGUUCCUCUCCACACAGGUCUGCUUGGGCAUCCUUUCAGCACAGUGACUGCAUUCUAGCAGUGAGCAUCCCAAGAGAGCAAAUACACAGCACUUCAUAAUCUAGCCCGAGAGUCACUUCUGCUGCAUUCUGUUGGUCAAAAAAGUCACAGUGGUCCACCCUGGUUCAUGGAGAGGGGACAACGAGAGCCCAAUGAUCAAUGAGAGGAGUUUUAAGAUCAUACUUUUUCUACAGUCAUCGGUGUUCAGAAACCAGACUGUCCUCUCUGAUAAUGUGUGAGUAGAGCCUAGUGCUACGUCACAGCGCCUCCGGCAUUGCCCUCACUUCAUGUCUUCAUGUAGGGAUGUUUUCAUCUCACAUCAUUGCAAGAAGAAAGAGUUCAAAAUAUAAUCAAGAACACAUAAUUUUUCAAGUUGGAAGAAAAAUCCAAUUAUGAUUUUGACUUUAAUUGUGUGAAGUCCUACACUAAUAACAGCAAGAACUGCUACUCAGGCCUAAAUGUGAAAUGACUCAUUGCUGGAGUAUAAGCACAUUCAAGUCACAGAUUUGACAUCCUUUAGUUUCUAUUUUAAGAAGAUGGCCCUCCCUCCAAAUUUGGUGAUCUGUAAACUUUAUUUAAAAAAAAUUUUUUUUUAACUUUUAUUUAAUUUUGAGACACUGAGAGAGACAGAGCAUGAGCAGGGGAGGAACACAGAGAAGAGGGAGACACAGAAUCCGAAGCAGGCUCCAGGCUCCAAGCUGUCAGCACGGAGACUGAUGCGGGGCUCGAACCCAUGGACCGUGAGAUCAUGACCUGAGCCAAAGUUGGACGCUUAACCGACUGAGCCACCCAGGUGCCCCGAGAUCGGUAAACUUUAAAUUAAAAAUUUUAAUUCCUGUUCAUAAAGGAAUAAUUCUAUUUAAAAAUUUUUUUUUGUGGUGCGAUACAUUAAAUUUGGCACUUUAGCCCUUUUAAAGUGUACAGUUCAGUAACAUUUAGUAUAUUC